rnacentral:lncRNA from 1 species
AGAGUUUGCAAAUUGGGCGCAUUUAGUUGUUUAGAGCUACCUUGAGCAACAAUAAUUGGAAAGAGAGAUUUCAAGCUUUCACAUUCCAAGAUAUCAAUUAGAAUCAGAUUUGGAAAGCAAAUAGGUAGGGGAUGAUGUUGUGAUGAUGUUUGAUCUUGCUCCAAUUCCUCAUAUUUACAUAAAUGUAAAUUGCUCAAUUGUUCAUUUGUCAUCUUCCCAAACACCAGUUCCUAUAAACAUAUCAUCAAUUUUCAAUUUCAAAAUGUUCAAAGAUGUCAACAACCAACUUAACGUUUCAUCAAUUAAUUUCCUUACAAAAAAAAUAUUUUACGUUAAAUUAAUAUGAUACUCCAAAAAUGUGGUACAGAAACAGUCAUAAAUAAUAUUACAUAAUCUGUACAUAUAAAUUAUUGGAUAGGUGUAACAACGCAAUUGGGAAUUGCUUAAACUCAUUUUCAUAUAUUAAUACAAAAAUAAAAAACCACCUAUGUAAAAGGUUAUAUUUAAAAAUACAAAUUCUAAAAUCAUCCAUAAUUCCUUCCCACAUUUAAAUAGAGAGAUAAACAUGCUUGAGUGCGCUCGAACCCACAUCCUCCUAUUCACACAAUAAUAUCAAUACCAACCAAACUAAAAUUUAUAUAUAAUUUUAUAUAGCUUAUUUUUGUUUACCGACUUAAUAGUAUAAUAUUUUUUUUUGAUAAUCAACUAAUUUGUUUAAAAGGUUAUUUAGAUUAGUUUUAGACCAAAGUUAUAAAAUAAAAUCUAUCUUUUAAACAACUAUUCAAACAACAAAUUAUUAAAAAAAAAGAAACAAAUAAAUAAAUAAUAUAAAACAAAAGGAAAAAUCUUACUUGUAUCGUAGUCGAAAUAAUAAAAUAUAUCAAUCGAGGAUAAUUGUGCACUUUUAACUUCUGCAAAGAUAAUUGUGUGAGCAUAAUGUCGUUCACAUCCCUUUCUUUCAAUUGAGGCAAAUUAAUCAACGAAACCUAAAAUGAAAAGCAUAAUCAAAUUUCCCAAUCUUUGACCAUGGGAUAAUAAGGAAAAAAAAUGUCAAGUUAUUGCAGUGAGAUACACAUACUUCCUUUAGACUUUGGAGUAGACAUUUGUAUGCCACUUGUCGGUCUUGGAUUAUAUCUUCCAAUUGCGUGCAACUCAUUAUCUUCAAAGUAUGCAGUUGCCCAAGGCUAUUAGCAACACACAUUGGGAAGAUAUAUUUCAAAUUAUUGCAUCUCUGUAUUUCAACAAUCUUCAGACUUUGGAGGCUUAAAUAACGACUGGCCCUUCUUGUUCUAUGCUCCUCAAUUCAGCAAUUGGGAAUAACACUUGCAUCUCACCACAAUCUGAAACUAUAACCUCUUCAAGCUUUUGUAGAAAACCUUGCGGCUGGGGAGCAUUGCACAUCUCUUCCAAAUGAAACAUAUGACUUAAUGAUAACUUUCUCAAAUUAGAGAGUGCAGUGAUUGGCACUUGCUGCUUUGAUGCAUCAAUUAGGCAUUGCAUAGAGUGGCACUGUCGAAGAUCUAGAGAAGUCAACUUUCUAAAUCCCAAGUCCAAGCUCGGAAUAAGGUUUGGGUGACCCUCCACAUCACCCAAUUCAAGAGAUUCUACAUCUUCAAGCAGUUGCUUGCAUGCAUCUACAGACUUAUCGAUUCUCAAAGAUCUUGAGAUUGGCCAAGUUUCAAGGUCCCUCUUUCGGUACCGCAGUUCUCUUUUUAUGCCAAUGCAAACAUCAAAGCUCCAUAAUCUACGAAGCACAAAGCCAUCUUUAAGAUGUUCAGAAGAAAUAUCCAAUGAUAUUACAGCCAACUUUGGCAAUGAAUUCAACUCUGAUAGGCUGGAAUAGCUUUCCACUUUAGUUGAAUUCUCAGUCGCCCAUUUUAAGGAACUACAACCAUGCAAGUAUAGUUCUUCUAAAUCGGACAAUCUUUGUAUUAAAUUAGGAGGGAAUCCUUCAAGGUUAUAGCAAUACGAUGAAUCCAACCGUCUUAGAUUUUCUAGAUCACCAGCUUCAGUCGAUAAUUCAAUGAUAUCAGAUCCACUUAAAGAGAGAAUAUGAAGUGACUUCAGCUUCCCAAGCAUCGAGAUGUCAGAGAGUUGACAAUCAAUCAAACACAGAGUUCGAAGGUUCAUAUUCAACUUAAAUGCAGCUAGAGAUAUCGAUUGAUCUUUCAAAGCACAAACUUGUAAUGCCUUCAUACCCUCAAAGAAUUCGCUUGAAGUUUCCACGAAACUACCAAGUAAAAGAAGUUUGAGGUAUGGAAAACCCACUCCUUUAGGCAGUUCAUCCGUUUGAUCAGUUUCGAAGGAGAUUGCUGUGUAAUGCUUGAAACUUUCAUCCAUCGGGAGUGUUUCAACAGUCCCAAAAGAAAUCUCCUCUCUUGAAGAUGCUAUCCACAAAGCAAAUUCGCGAACCACAUCAUGCAUUUUGACAUGCCUUUCUCCGCAAUCUAGCAACAAACCGGAGUUCUUGAGGGUCUCAAUUGAUGCAAGCACUUCACUUCUAACAUCUUUAAUUGAGUCCAUGCCUUUAUACAACUCCAGUCCCCAUGCAUAUCCUACCAAGUUCUCCACAUAAAUCUCAUCAUCUUCAGGAAAUAAACAGCACAACAAGAAACAUGUCUUGGUCUCCAUAUUCUUCAAGUAGUCGAAGCUCGCCUCAAGACAUACAUAGGCAUUUUCUUCAUUAACAUCCUCAAUUUCAGUCAAUCUACGAUCUUCGAGUCUCCGGUGUGCGGCUUGCCACCAAUGAUGGGUUUUACCUUUCAAGGCACUGCCCAGCGGAACUAUAGCUAUAGGCAAACCCCCGCAUUUUUUGACAAUUUGAUUUGCUAGGAUUUUAAUAGAAUCAUCAGAAGAGCCAUCUAGACCUGCUUGGGUACUUCAAAAUCAAACUACACUUUCUGUUGAGAAGAUUCUUAAUUACCACUUCAAAUCAAUCAAAUGGGAUUUGAAGGUUGGUUUUUUUUUUCUUUUUUUGAGCAAAAGAACUUGAAGAUAUUUUUUAUCUUUAAGGAAAGGGAAAUAAAAAAACAAGAAAUAGAAAUAGAAAUCAAGGUUGAACUAAAAUAAGGAGAAACCUUCACAAAGAAAUUGAAGUUGAUCUGCCUCGAAAAUUCAACAAACUGGGUUUUCUUGAUUUUGUAGCCAAAGGAUUUGUGCUAUGAGAUUACUGCAAUAUUGGGAUCUAAAUUAAUGAAGUUGGUACUGUUUGGUUUGCUAAUGGCCCCAUGCAUUCAUUUUGCAAUUAAGACCAACAAAGACAUGACAGGAUAGGAGAUAACUUCCAAAAAGGUAAGUCUUUGGGCCAUAUUUUUACCCUGGUUUGCUCUAUUAGAAAAGGGUUAAUUACAUUAAGCAUCCUUAAAUUGUGACCAUCAAUUUAAAUUGGUCCUUAAACAUUAGAUUAUUCUAAUUACAUCCCUAAUUUAUCGAUGAUAUAUCAAUCGAGUCCUUUUGUUAUUACAAUAGUUAAAUGACAUAUCAAAUCUUACAUAGCUAAAUUUAAAAUAAAAAUUUUAAAUAAAUAGAAUUGUGUUACAUAACUUUUAAAAUUAAAAACAAAAAUUAAGUAAAACUAAUUUUUUUUUUUAAAAAGUGAUAAUAAAAUUUCCAUUUCAAAAACCUCAAAACUAAAGUUUUUAAAACAUUUAUUUUUAUAAUAUUCAUUUUUUAAAAUUUUCAUUUUAAAUUAUUAUGUCACAUUAGAUGUAACAUGUCAUUUAAUGAUUAAAUUGGGUAAAACGACCUUUCUAGUCCAUCUCAAUUUUGAUAUUGAGAAAAUUUGUCUCUCUAAAAAAAUCGAACCAAUCUAAUCCCUAUCAAUUUCGAAAGUGACCGAAUAAGGACAAUUUUCAUAAAUUUGAUUGGUAUAAUAACAAAUUUAGCUCUCAAAGUUAACACAUUCUAUCAAUUUAGUCAUGAUUUAAUAAAUUCAGCUCGCAAUAUUUUUAUAAACAUGUAAAUAUUAAGACUAAAUUUAUUAUUUUUUUUAAAAUCAAGACGAAACUAACAAAAUUACAAUUUAUUCAUAGAUAUUUUCAAAUUUUUUUGUUGAAGAUAUAUUUUAUUAAUUCAUAGAUAUACAAAAUAAAAAUAUGGUCUCGCCUGAAAAUCUAUAAAUCUUGAUUAAUAUAUUUGAUUAAUUCAUAUAUUUUAAAAAAUCAUGGAUUUGGCAAUUUUAAAACAAUCAUGGAUUUCAAUUUAAUCAUAGAUAUUUUCAUAUAUUCUUUUGUUGUGACCCAAGUAAAUGGAAAAUAUACUCACUUACCACUUCAAAAUGAAGUAAAGAUUCCAAGAAUUUGAGUGUGGAUAAGAAAAUUCCAAACAGUCUUUUUAGCUCUGUUUUAGUUCAAGAAAAACAUAAAAAGAUAAUAUUAGAUGAAGAAAUAUAUAACAAAUUUAUAUAUAGAAAAUCACAAUUAAACUUGGCGGUUGGUUUGCCAAUGGCCCCAUGCAUUUGUUUUGCAAUUAAAGACUUGACAGGACAAGAGAGGAGACAACUAGAAAAGUGUGAAAGUCUUUGGGUCAGUUUUCACUUUUUCACCGUUACAAAAUUAUACAUUUAUGUUUUUCAUAUUUGUUUCAUUUGAAGCGUCUUUCAAGAAAAAAAAAUAUUUUUUUCUUCUUAUUUUUCAUUUGCUAUCAGGAAUGAAGAAGAGUUUUCUUUAUUCAAAGUGAUUUUUCUAUUAUUUUGCAAAUUCUAGAGAUAAAUUUCCAAUGUUUAUGUUAUAUAACUAGUUUUUUUCUUCAAAAUUAACAAUGAAUAGAAUAUACUUUUUUGAAAUUUCAUACCAAGUCAUGGAUUUGGUAUCUUCAACAAAAUGUUGAGCUUUACAUAACAUGUUCUAUUGUCAUUUUGGUAUUUCUUUCUGUAAUCAAAAUAAUGUAUGAAAGAUAAAAUAUAUAAUUAAUGCAUCACUUUUUAGAAAAUUUUAAGCAAGGAUCAUUAACGGUCUCAAUUGUAACAGCCCAGUUUAGACUCUAGUCGGAUAGUGAUUUCUGGACCACAAAUUCGAGUUAAAAAAAUUUUAAUAUUAUUUUUCGCACUUAAAGUAUGUGCAUUAGUAUGUGUGAAAUUUUUGUGAUUUAAUUUAUUCGUUUGUGUGUUUAAUUUGAUAAAAAGGAUUUAAUUGCGUAAAGUGAAAAUUUUGAGGUCUAUUUGUUAAAGGCAUUAAAUUGAUAUAAAAUGGAAAUGUGGAGCACUUGCAUGUCAAUUAUUCCAUUAAUAAUAGUGGUGGACAAGACCAGGUUAGGUGAAUUUUUUUAUGUUAAGUUAUUAAGGACAAAAUAGUAAAUGAUGUUUUAAUGUUUAUUAAAUUAAAAUAAAAAUGCAUUAGUGGCCAUUUUGGUGUUCAUCUUGCCGAAUGUUGAAGAAAGAAUACCCAUGGAAGCAUUUUAGGUUUCGCUACAUUCAUAGCUAGAUUAAGAUCAAGAAAAGAGGAAAUCAGAAUUGGAUCGGGGGAAAUCAACAGUGAUCGAAUAGUCGUUCCAGUCUGUUUGUCUUCGUCUGAGGUAAGUUCAUAAGUAAAUAAUUGCCGGUAAUUUGAAUAUAUAUGUAUUAUAAAUGCUGAAUUAUUUUAUGCGUGGGAGAAUUGUUUAUGAGUUGAUACGAUUGAAUUAAAACAUCUAAUAGCCCCGUACGAACCAUAGGAUUUUGAUAUGUGAUUUUGUGUAAGACCACGUCUGGGACGUUGGCAUCGAUUUGAGAUUUACGUGAUAUAGAAUUGAUUUCUCUAUUUUAUUUAAAUACAAGUAUUGCAUAGAAUUGGGUAGAAAAGUAUAAACGAAAGCAAGACUCGAUUGAGAAGCUGUUAUUUCAUUUUAUCAAUUCAUGAUAGUUGAUAAAAUCAUAUAUACAAUUCGACUGUAAAGUCAUAUAAUUAUAAAUUGGAAGGAUAUAUUUCAUUACACAGAUAAAUAUAAUUCUAAUGAUUAAAAUUAAUUAAACUAAGUCUAUGUACUUUUUAUUAAUUUAUUUAAAUUUGAAAAUAAUUAAAAUUAAAAACUACCCAUAGUAAUUGUUAAGUUUUUAUCUCUACUAAAUUUUGGUUUAUUGAGUUAGAGUGACACUAUGACUCGCUCUCAUAUAUAUAGAUUAUAGAUGAUAGAUUAUAUAUAUUAUAUAUAACGCAUUUGAUUAAAUUGGUGUCACGAGUUAAUUAGACACUAAUUCGAAUCGUAAAAUAAUUAAAAUACCUUUACUUUAAAAAAUAACUAAUAUUAUUUUAAUAUUAAUAUAAAGGUAUUUUUAUCUUUUCAUACUUUUAUUUAAUAUUCAAAUAAAACAACUUAAAAAUAUUACUUAAGAAUCAAACACAAAACCAGUUGAAAUAUUUUUAUAAAUAUACUUUUAAUAUAAAAUAUUUCCGUUUGUGAUAAAGUCUAGUAGAUAUAGAGUUUCUCUAUUUUAUUUAAUGAAAUGAACUUUAUAGCUUUUAUUUCAUUUUGUUUGUUUUAUUUUUGUCAAUUCAUUUAAAUUUAUAAAAUUAAGAGUGAGUAAAACUUGAUUCGAUUCGAAAAGAUUGAAUUUUAAGUUAAUUGAAUCGAUUUAAAUUUUACAAUUUGAAUUUUAUAAAAAAUCACAAUUAAAAUUAUAUACAAGAAAGAAAUGGCGUUCAAUUAUAUAAAAAAUCACAAUUAAAAUCACAAUAAAAUGAUCACCCACAAGGCUGAAGCUCACGGGGUUUGGUAUCCCAUCAAGCUCUAAGAAGCCGAGCUGAGGUAGGUGGAUCACUUUCUCUUCGUCCUUACUCACAUUUCCCUCAUCUCCUUCAAACACCUGCGAGAGUAAUUGGGAACAAACAUUUCAAGUUUUCACACCUCUUGAUUGUAAUCUGCUUCAAAUUAGGGAAGCAAAUAGGAUGGAGAUGAUGUUGUGAUGGAGUUCGAUGCUUCUCAAUUAUUUGCUCCAAUUCCUCACAGUUAAAUAUACCCAACCUGGAUAACUGUAGCAAAUUUCGAGCGAUAGUAGGUGAGAAGAUGUAUCUUAACCUUCUGUAAUCUUGAACCGUCAAUUGACAGAGAUUUUGAAAGUAUUCAACUUGGAUGGGAGCACUCCAUAUCACCCGCAGUUCAGUUAGUUCGGACAAGUUUAGGAUCUUCAGACUUACAUCUAAAAUCAAAUAACUCUUCAAAAUUAGAAAUUGUUGAUGUUUCUCUUCUCAUUUCUGGGACUAACUUUUUUGUCAUCUCCGACAACUCCAAUACCUAUAAACAUAUCAUCAAUCAUCAAUUUCAAAGUAUUCAAAGCGAUUAACAUCUCACCUAUCAUUUUAUUAAUUCAUUUUCUUAUGUAACUCCUAUUUUAACCUUUUUUAUAAAAGAAUUAAGGUUUAAUUUAUUUUACUUAUUAGAUUCUUACAGUUUGAACACCAACCAAGAUUUCUUUUCAAAUCUUUUAUAGUCAAAGAAAUCAAUUUUUUUUUAAAAAAAAUGAAAAAUCACCAAAAUAAUGGUGCAAAAACACAACGUAAAUAAUAUUAUGUCAUACUAGAUUGAGUUUGCAACAUAAGAUUAAAAUGUCUUAACGAUGUAUUCUAUAUAAAUAAUAUAUAUAUAUAUCUCAUAUAGAUUAUAAGAGUAUUCAAAUGAAAUUUUAUUUAUGUUAUUAAUUGGUAUUGUAAUUAACUAAACUACUUAAAGGUUUAUUUACAUUAGUUUUAAACUAAAAUUCUAAAAUGAAAACUAUCUUUUAAAGAGUUAUACAAACAUCUAUUUAUUUUAGACAAUAAAUUAUGAAAAGGUGAAGAUUUCAAUAAAUUAUAAAAUAAAAGCUACUUUCUAAACAACUACUCAAACAACAAAUUAUUUAAAAAAAACAAACAAACAAAUAAAUAAUAUAAAACAAAAAGAAAAAUCUUACUUGUAUCUUAAUCGAAAUAAUAAAAUGUGUCAAUUGAAAACAAUUGUACACUUUUAACUUUUGCAAAGACGAUUGUGAGAGUAUAAUGUCGUUCAAAUCCCUUCCUUUCAAUUGAGGCAAAUCAAUCAACGAAACCUGAAAUGAAAAGCAUAAUCAAAUUUCCCAAUCUUUGACCAUAGGACAAUAAGGAAAGUAGAUGUCAAGUUCUUGCAAUGAGAUACACAUACUUCCCUUAGACUUUAGAGUAGACAUUUGUAUGCCAAUUGUGGAUCUUGGAUUAUAUUGCGAGCAACUCUUUUAACUUCAAAUUAUGCAAUUACCCAAGGCUAUUAGCAAUAGACAUUGGGAAGAGAUACUUCAAAUUAUCACAGUUUUUAACUUCUAUUUCCCUUAAACUUUGGAGGCUUAUGCAUGGCACUUGUGAGUCUUGGAUUAUGCCUUCCAAGCUCCGGCAACUCUUUAUCUUCAAAGUAUGCAAUUGCUCAAGGCUAUUAGCAACAGACAGUGAGAAGAGAUACUUUAAAUUAUCGCAUUUUGGAACUUCUAUUUCCCUUAAACUUUAGAGGCUUAUGUAUGGCAGUUGUGAGUCUUGGAUUAUGCCUUCCAAGCUCCGACAACUUUUUAUCUUCAAAGUAUGCAAUUGCUCAAGGCUAUUAGCAACUAGGAAGAUAUAUAUCAAAUUAUUGCAUCUCUCUAUUUCAACAAUCUUCAGACUUUGGAGGCAUAAAUGACGGCUGGGCCCUUCUUGUUCUAUGCUCUUCAAUUCAGCAAUCGGGAAUAACACUUGCAUCUUAUCACAAUUUGAAACUAUAACCUCUUCAAGCUUCUAUAAAAAACCUUGCAGCUGGGGAACAUUGCACAUCUCUUCCAAAUGAAACAUAUGACUUAAUGAUAACUUUCUCAAAUUAGAGAAUACAGUGAUUGGCACCUGUUGCUUUGAUGCAUCAAUUAGGUAUUGCAUAGAGUCGCACCAAUCAAGAUCUAAAGAAGUCAACUUACUAAAUCCCAAGUCCAAGCUCGGAAUAAGGUUUGGGUGACCCUCCACCUCAUUCAAUUCAAGAGAUUCUACAUCUUUAAAUAGUUGCUUGCAUGUUGUUGGUGAUUAGAACUCGAACUUUGAUGGUUGAUCGAGAGAUUUGAAGCAGAAAGAAGAGACAAGAAGUUUUAAGAUAGAAAAUAAUUGAAGACUUGAAUAAUUGAUUUGCACCUCAACUAUUUAAAUACAAAAUUUCAAGACUAAAAAUAGAAAAAAAGGUUCUAAAAAUAUGCUAAAAACCUGGUAACAAUACACCAAACAAAUAAAAAACUAAGCUCCUAAAGUCAAGUAGAAUUAUUCAAACUUAGUAACAGAAAAAAUUAAAUGGCAGCAAUCUUAAACACAUAAUCUCAACACUCCUCCUUGUUUAGAUGCUGCAAACUCCAAGUUUCUUCCUGAAGCUUUCAAACUUGCUAAGUGGCAAUGGUUUGGUGAAGAUAUCUACAAUUUGAUCUUCAGAUUUGCAGUAACAAAGAGACACAUCACCACUCUUUUGAACUUCUCGAACAAAAAAUAACUUGAUGUUGAAAUGCUUAGUCUUCCCAUGAAAGACUGGAUUGUUAGAGAUUGCAAUGGCAGCUUGGUUAUCAACUAGAAUAUCUGUGCUUUACUUUUGCUUCAUGUUUAGAUCAACAAAAAUCUUCCUUAACCAGAGAGCUUGGUUAACUGUUGUUGUUGCAGCCACAAAUUCUGCCUCAGUAGUGGAUUGAGCUACAGUUUCUUGCUUCUUCGAGCUCCAAGAGAACAUGCCUGAUCCAAGGCAAAAAUAAUAACCAGAGGUACUCUUCAUAUCAUCAGUUGAGCCACCCCAAUCACUGUCAGAGAAACCAAUUAACUUCAAUUCCCUGUGCUUUGAAAACUUCACUCUAUAACUCCAAGUCCCCUUGAUGCAUCUGAUAACUCUUUUUGCAGCUCUCAUGUGAGUCUCAUUAGGACAAUGCAUGAAUCUGGAGAGAAUACUCACAGCAUUCAAGAUGUCGGGUCUGGUUGCUGUUAAGUACAUUAGAUAACCUACCAAACUCCUAAACUCAGCUUCAAUGACUUUGGCAGAACCAUCAUAUUUGAUUAGCUUCUCUUUUUGAUUCAUAGGAGUACUCAUUGCUUUGCAAUCUUCCAUAUGAAAUUUUCUAAGUAUCUCAUUUGCAUACUUUCUUUGACAGAUGAACACUUCAUUUUGGCUUUGUUUGAUCUCAAUGCCAAGGAAAUAAGACAUCAGACCAAGGUCUGUCAUUUCGAAGACCUUUUUCAUUUCCAAUUUGAACUGAUUGACUUGAUUGAUAUUGCUCCCUGUAAUCAAUAAGUCAUCUACAUAAAGAGAAAUGACUAAAGUGUUUGUACCUUCAUGCUUGACAUACAGUGUGAGCUCAGAUUGACUUUUCUGAAAACCAAGACCCACCAAAUGAUCAUCAAUUCUGCUAUACCAUGCUCGUGGAGCCUGUUUUAGGCCAUACAGAGCCUUCUUCAACAAGUAAAGUUUGUCUUCAUUGCCUUUGCUUACAAAACCUUCAGGUUGCUCGACAAAUAUUUUUUCUUGCAAGACUCCAUUUAGGAAUGUAGAAUUAACAUCUAACUGAAAAACUUUCCAGUUCUUUUGUGCAGCAAGAGCAAGAAGCAACCUUACAGUGUCAAGCCUGGCAACAGGUGCAAAUGUUUCUGAAUAAUUGACUCCAAAGACUUGUACAUAUCCCUUCACAACAAGUCUUGCUUUGAAUUUGUUAACUGACCCAUCGGGAUUUAGUUUCGUUCUGAACACCCAUCUCACUCCAAUUAUCUUUCUGUCCAGAGAUCGAUCAACCAACUCUCAAGUUUUGUUUUUCUCGAUCAUCGAAAGCUCCUCCUUCAUUGCAGCCAUCCAAUGUUGACUGUUUUUUGCAUCAUGAUACCCUGCAGGCUCACAAAUAGCCAUGUUACAUCUUUGGUAAAUGUCGGAGAGUAGCCUUGUACCUCUGACAGGUGCGUCAUUAGCUAAAACAUCUUGCCCUUCAUCUUCAAGCUCUUCUAAUGUGCUGCCAAUGGUAAAACGAUUUGGUGCACUAUAAGUUUGGUUCGUCUUGGUCGAGUUUUCCCAAUUCCAUUGCUCAUUUUCAACAAAAUAAACAUCUCUGCUCACAAUAACACGUCCAGUGUGUGGUUGAAAGACUCUGUAAGCUUUAGAUACAGUGCUAUACCCAAAAAAAAUGUCAGCUUCUGCCUUUUAGUCAAGCUUAUCACGCUUGACCUGUGGAAUAUAAGUGAAACACAGGCAGCCAAACACUCUAAGAAACUUUAAAGAAGGUUUGUAACCAUACCAAGCUUCAAAUGGCGUCUGAUCCUUCAUAGCUUUUGUUGAAAUCCAAUUUUGUAAGAACACAACAGUGUUUGCAGCUUCUCCCUAAAAGUUUUUUAGAAGAUUCUUCUUGUGAAGCAUACAUCGAGUCAUCUCCAUUAUGAAUCUGUUCCUCUUUUCACUGACUCUAUUUUGUUGUGGAGUGUAUGGCGCCGUCAACUGAUGUUCAAUUCCAGCCUCUUCACAAAAUCUAUUAAAGGCUUCUGAAGUGUACUCCUUGCCAUUAUCAGAUCUUAAAAUCUAAAUCAUGCAUCCACUUUCAUUCUCAACUCUAGCUUUGAAUUUCCAGAACACACCAGCAACUUCUGAUUUUUGCUUCAAUAAAAAAAUCCAACACAUUCUUGUUAGAUCAUCGAUAAAGGCUAUGCAAUAGAGGUUACCAUUUAAUGAAGGCAUUCUCUGAGGACCACAAAGAUCAGUAUGAACAAGCUGUAACUUCUUCGAGGCUCUCCAGGCUUGUUUUGGAAAGGGUUGUCUAUGUUGUUUCCCAAAUUUACAAGCUCGACAAUGAGGUAGAUCAUCAUCAAUGUCUGUAAGUCCUUCUACUAGCUUCUUUGACUGCAUUUGAAGCAAUCCUCGAUGGUGAAAGUGCCCAAGUCUCUUGUGCCAAGUCUCAAUAGCACUAACUCUGGAUUUAAAAUCCAUUUGCUCCUUUUCCAUUGGAUUAAGAGCAAAACUUUUUCCCUUCAUUUUGACAUUAAACAAGUCUCUGCCAUUAGCAUCUUUGAUCAAGCACUGCUUAUUCUCAAAUAGCACUUUAUAGCCUUUAUCUAGUAACUGACCAACACUUAAGAGAUUUUGAUCAAUUUUAGGUACAAACAAAACAUCUGAAACAAAUUUUGUACCUUCAUAGCUUGUAAUAGCUACCUUCAUAGAUUUUGAUCAAUUUUAGGUACAAACAAAACAUCUGAAACAUUUGGAGCAUUUGGCGUCAGGUCUUUUCCAACAUUUGAAUGGUGGAUGACCUUUCUUCUCACAAUGGUGACAAGGUGGGUAGGAUUUCUUGACACCUCAUCUUUUUCUCUUUUGAGAAUUGCCUGAUGAAUUUUCUCCACUCGUCGACUGGUUUUUAAAAUUUUUCUUCUUUUUAUACCUGUUGUUGUCUUGAUGCUUGACAAGUAAGGCAUCUUCUAUCACUCCCUCUUGCCUCAUGGAUCUUCUUUGCUUUUGUGCUUGUAAAGCAUUCAAGAGCUCUGCAAGAGAGAUCUUUGAGAGGUCCUUGGUGUUUUCCAGAGUAGUAAUUGUGGCUUUAAACUUCUCUAGAACAGUUACUAGUAGCUUUUCUACAAUUCUAGAGUCGUUCAACUCAGAACCAAGCAAUCUCACGUUGUUGGCAAUAUUGAGAAGUCUGUCAGAAUAUUCUUUCACUAACUCAAACUCCUUCAUCUUCUACAACUCGAAAUCCCUGAUUAGAUUCAGGACUUUCAUUCCACGAAUCCUCUCAUCUUCUUCAUAUUUAGCCUUAAGGUAAUCCCAGAUUUCCUUUGCUGAUUUCAGAGACAUUAUUCGUGUGAAAAUCAUUUGAGACACCGUUGCAAAUAAGCAAGCUUUUUCCUUUGAUUUCCUUGUCUUCUUUUCCUUUCGUGCUUUAAUCUGUGACACAGUAGGAUUUGCUAGAAGUAGUAGGACCUCGUAAUCCUCUUCUACAGCUUCCCAAAGAUCUAAAGCAUCCAGGUAAGUCUCCAUAUGAACUGCCCACAUCUGGUAAUUGUCUCAAUCGAAGACUAGUGGUGCAGCAACUGAAAAACUAGACCCUCCUUCCAUCUUAACACGCAAAUAACCUCACAGAUCCCUUAAGAAAACAGCUCCGGUACCAAUUUGUUGGUGAUUAGAACUCAAACUUUGAUGGUUGAUCGAGAGAUUUAAAGUAGAAAGAAGAGACAGGAAGUUUUAAGAUAUAAAAUAAUUGAAGACUUGAAUAAUUGAUUUGCACCUCAACUAUUUAAAUACAAAAGUUCAAGACUAAAAAUAGAAAAAAAAAGGUUCUAAAAAUAUGCUAAAAAUCUGGUAACAAUAUACCAAACAAAUAAAAAACUAAGCUCCUAAAGUCAAGUAGAAUUAUUCAAACUUAGUAACAGAAAAAAUUAAAUGGCAGCAAUCUUAAACACAUAAUCUCAACACAUACAUCUAUAGAGUUAUUGAUUCUCAAAGAUCUUGAGAUUGGAUAAGUUUUCCCCUUUUGGUACCACAUUUCUCUUUCUAUGCCAAUGCAAAAAUUAAAGCUCCAUAAUAUGCAAAACACAAAGCCAUCUGGAAGAUGUUUAGAAGAAAUAUCCAAUGAUAUUACAACCAACUUUGGCAAUAAAUCCAACUCCGACAGACUAGAAUAGCUUUCUCUUUGAGUUGUGUUCUCAGUCGCCCAUUUUAAUGAACUACACCCAUGCAAGUAUAGUUCUUCUAAAUUGGACAAUCUUCGUAUUAAAUUAGGAGCGAUUCUUCGUAGUUCAUAGCAAUGUGAUAAAUCCAACAGCCUUAGAUUAUCCAAAUCACCAGCUUCAGUCGGUAAUUCAGUGAUAUCAGAUCGACUUAAAGAGAGAUUAUGAAGUGUCUUUAGCUUCCCAAGCAUUGAGAUGUCAGAGAGUUCACACAAUCAAUCAAACAAAAAGUUCGAAUGUUCAUAUUAAACUUAAACGCAUCUAGAGAUAUCAAUUGAUCUUCCAAAGCACAAACUUGUAUUGCUUUCACACCCUCAAAGAAUUCGCUUGAAAUUUCAAGCGAAGUUUCCACAAAAUAAUCACCAACAAGUAAAAGAAAUUUGAGAUUUGGGAAAACCACUCCUUUAAGAAGUUCAUACAUUUGAUCAGUUUCGAAGGAUUCUGCUGUGUAAUGCUUGAAACUUUCAUCCAUCGGUAGUGCGUCAACAGUCCCAAAAGAAAUCUCAUUUCUUGAAGAUGUUAUCCACAAAGCAAAUUGGCGAACCACAUCAUGCAUUUUGACAUGCCAUUCUCCACAAUCUAGUAACAAACCAGGGUUCUUGAGGAUCUCAAUCGAUGCAAGAACUUCGCUUCUAACGUCUUUAAUUGAGUCGAUGCCUUUAUACAAUUCCAGUCCCCAAGCAUAUCUUACCAAGUCCUCCACUUAAAUCUCAUAAUCCUCGGGGAAAUAGAGAGCAGAACAAGAAACUUGUCUUGGUCUCCUUAUACUUCAAGUAAACGAAGCUUGCCUCAAGACAUUUAUAAGCAUUUCUUUCAUUAACAUCUUCUAUUUCAAUCAAUCUACGACCCUCGAGUCUCGGAUAUGCUGCUAGCCACUCAUGAUAACUUUUACCUUUCAAGGCACUUACCAGUGGAACUAUAGCUAUUGGCAAACCACUGCAUUUUUUAACAAUUUGAUUUGCUAGGAUUUUAAUAGAAUCAUCAGAAAAGUCAUCUAGACCUGCUUUAUUUUCAAAUAGAGUCCAAGCUUCAUCAUCAUUCAAACAGCCAAGUUGUGCCACGUUUUGACAAUCCAUAGCUCGACAUACUUGUUAAUGACGUGUUGUUAAAAGAACUUUGCAGCCUUUAUGAUCAUCCCCAAUUGGAAUUCCUAUCUCCUCCUUUAAGUUGAUAGAUUCCCAAAUAUCAUCAAGGAUGAUAAGAAUCCUUGGUUUAUUCUUUAGCCUUAGCCAUAAUUCUUGCUCGGAUCUUCUUCCUUGUUCAUUCUUCAUAUCAAAGCCUAUGUAUUGUGCAAUUUGAUCUUGAAUUCUCUCAAGAUUUGGCUUUUGAGACACAGUCGUAAUCAUAACUUUGUCAAACAAAUUCAGUUUUGGAGCUUGAAAUCCUACUUCACGAGCCAGAGUGGUCUUGCCCACCCCUCCCAUCCCCCACAACCCAAUCAUAAUGAUAUUCUCAUCUUUUAAGGCUUCAAUGAUUUGUUUGAAAGCAGCCUUCGAAGACUCCGAAACCAUAGUUCCUUAGAACAUAGGAAGUCUAUAGUGGGAAGGGCAGUAGGAUCACAGUAACCGACUGGUCCAAGUCGAUCAAAUUUUUCCAAAAGCUCAGAGAUAUCGUGAGUUUUCUUCAUUGCUUUCUUACUUAAAUGAUAUCUCCAAAUCCAAUUAGGACACCAAUUGAGACACCUCUUAUUCAGUUGAAUUUCCCCUUCCGGAGUUCCCAUAUCCGAUACUAUUUCUCCUGCCUUUGAUUGCAGGUUCUGUACAUCCUUUUGAAUUAGUAGAAGCUGCCUUUCAGCAUCCUCAAUCUCAUGUUUCAGACGAUCUCGUGCACUUUCAAGGUCACACUUUUUUUCUCGGAGCUUUUCAACAUUGUCAUGAAAGCGACAGACAUAAUCAAGUUGACAUCCUACCGGCUUCACCAUACAGUCCACAGUCAGUGUUCCAACGGAGUUCGAAACAAAUUAAAGGAGGAUUCAAAGUCUGAGAAUCAAUAGGCUUUUCUUCCAACUUAGUCCAGCUGAAAACAUAACACAAAAUGCCAAUAUUAUUAGAAACUUAAUAAAAAAAACAUUACUUGAAAACUAGAGAAUACCAAUAUUAUACAGACAUUCACAUUGAUGCAAGUAUUGUAUAGAAUUGGGUAGAAAAAUAUAAAGGAAAGCAAGACUUAGAUGAGAAGUUUCUAUUUCAUUUUAUCAAUUCAUAUUAGUUGAUAAAAUCAUAUAUACAAUUCAAGUGUAAUGCUAUAUAAUUACACAGAUAAAUAUAAUCUAAUGAUUAAAAUUAAUUAAACUAAGUCUAUGUACUUUUUUAUUAAUUUAUUUAAAUUUGAAAAAAGUUAAAACAAAAAACUACCCAAUAGUAAUUGUUAAGAUUUUAUCUCUACUAGAGUUUGGUUUCUUGAGUUGAGAGUGAUACCAUGACUCUGUCAUAUAUAUAGAUUUAUAGAUUAUAGAUUAUAGAUUAUAGAUGAUAGAUUAUAUAUAUUAUAUAUAAGGUGUUUGAUUAAGUUGGUCUCACAAAUCAAUUAGAUACAAAUUCGGUAGUAAAAUAAUUAAAAUGCCCUUAAAUUAAUAUUAUUUUAAUAUUAAUAUAAAGGUAUUUUCAUCGUUUCAUACUUUUAUUUAAUAUUUAAAUAAAACAACUUAAAAAUAAUAUUUAAGAAUCAAACACAAAACCAGUUGAAAUAUUUUUAUAAAUAUAUUUUUAAUAUAAAAUAUUUCCAUUUGUGAUAAAGUCUAGUAGAUAUAGACCAUAUAGAAUUGGUUUCUCUAUUUUAUUUAAUGAAAUGAACUUUAUAGCUUUUAUUUCAUUUUGUUUGUUUUAUUUUUGUCAAUUCAUUUAAAUAUAUAAAAUUAAGAGUGAGCAAAACUCAAUUCGAUUUUAAAAAAUUGAAUUUCAAGUUAAUUGAAUCGAUUUGAUAAUUCGAAUAAUAGAUUGGUGCAAACACCUCUAUAAUCUCUAACAAUUUUGAAAAUGAGCAAAUUGGGUUUUUUCAACAAAAAUUACAAAAUAAUUUAAAACAAUUUUUAAAAAUUAAAAAUAUUUAUAAAAAUUCCAUUUUUUAAUAAUUUUAAAAAAUUUCCUAAAAUAAGAAUUUUGAAACCUAAAUAAGUUAAUUAAUGAUUGAAGUUUAUUUAUUUUUCUUUAAAAUUUUUUUAAAUAUAUAUGGUUUCAAAUUUAAGUGGUUUAACAUGUAAUUAGUUAUACGGUAAUAAUAUUUUAAUUUGACUAUGUUUAAAUUUUUUUAAUUUCACUCGAUUCGAAUUUUAUUUUACUUGACUCAAUUCGAAAAAAUUUCAAAUCGAACUAAGAUAUUAAAAUAGGACUCAUCAACUCGAUUAAUUUAAAAUUUUUAGGCUCGAUUUGAUCCAAUGUUGAUCCCUAAAUAAAAUCAUAUACAUGUGUGUAAUGUGAUAUAAUUAUAAAUAAAAAAGACAGAUAAUUAGUUAUAACAACGAUGGAAACAUAUACACUUACCACUUCCAAAAGAAGUUGUAACUCCAAGAAUUUGAUCGUCAAAAUAAAAAAAUCCAGACACUCUUUUAGCUCUGGUUUGCUUCAAGAAGAACAUAAAAAGAUGAGAUGAGAUGAGAUCAAAUAUAUAACAAAUAUAUAAACACAAAUAUAAAUAGAUUUACCUCACUUGGGAACUUCAAAAUCAAACUACACUUGGUGUUGAGAAGAUUCUUAAUCACUACUUCAAAUCAAUCAAAAGGGAUUUAAAGAUUGGGUUUUUCUUUUUAAGAGCAAAAGAACUUGAAGAUAUUUUUUAUCUUUAAGGAAAGGGAAAUAGAAAAACAAGAACAAAAUAGAAAUAGAAAUCAAGGUUGAACUAAAAUAAGGAGAAACCUUCACAAAGAAAUUGAAGUUGAUCUGCCUCGAAAAUUCAACAAACAGGGUUUUCUUGAUUUAGUAGCCAAAGAAUUUGUGCUAUGAGAUUACUGCAAUAUUGGGAUCUAAAUUAAUGAAGUCGGUACUGUUUGGUUUGCUAAUGGCCCCAUGCAUUUAUUUUGCAAUUAAGACCAACAAAAACAUGACAGGAUAGUAGAUAAGUUACAAAAAGGUGAGUCUUUGGGUCAUAUUUUUACCCUGGUUUGCUCUAUUAGAAAAGAGUUAAUUACAUCAAGCAUCCUUAAAUUAUGACUAUCAAUUUAAAUUGGUCGCUAAACUUUAGAUUAUUCUAAUUACAUUCCCAAUUUAUCGGUGCUAUAUCAACCGAAUCCUUUUGCUAUUACAAUCGUUAAAUGGCAUAUCAAAUCUUACAUAGCUAAAUUUAAAAUGAAAUUUUUAAAUAAAUAGAAUCAUGUUACAUAACUUUUAAAAUUAAAAAUAAAAAAUUAAGUAAAACUUUUUUUUUUAAAGUAAACAUAAAACUUCCAUAAAAACUUCGAAAACCUCAAAACUAAGGUUUUUAAAAUAGUUAUUUCUAUAAUACACGCAGAUCCUAGGAGGAUUCAAGUCGGGAGUAAUCUGUUCUGAUAGGGAUGAAAUGAGCAGAUUUGGUCAACCGAUCCACGAUGACCCAAACUGAAUCUUUCUUAGUAGGAUUUAAAGGCAACCCAUUAGCAAAAUUUAUCAUUAUACGCUCCCCCUUCCACAGAGGAAUCUUAACUGGCUGAAGCAAUCCUGAAGGCAACUGAUGUUCGUCCUUAACCUUUUAACACAUCAAACAACGCGAUACAAAAGCAACCACUUCUCGUUUCAAACUAGGCUACCAAUAAAGUUAUCGGAGGUCCCGAUACAUUUUAUUUCCACCAGGAUGCAUAGCAUAAGGGCUACCAUACGCCUCCCAUAAAAUCAAUCGCCUCAAAUCCUUGUCAUUAGGCACACAAAUCCGACCCCUGAAACACAAGACAUUAUCAUUGUUCAAAAUAAAAUAUAAAUUUUUACUCAGAUCGAUCUGUUGCAAUUGCUGAACUAGAGACUUAUUGCUCGAUUGUUUAACUCGAAUAUGUUCGACCCACGUAGAUGUAACAUGCAGUUCGCCUAGCAGCCCUCCGUCUUCAAAUAAACUCAGACGAGCAAACAUCACUCUCAGUUUAGUAAUCGAUUUACGGCUAAGGACAUCAGCUACUACAUUAACCUUACUAGGAUGAUACUCUAUUGUACAAUCAUAAUCCUUAAGCAACUCAACACACCUACGCUGCAUAAGAUUUAACUCUUUUUGAGUUAACAGAUACUUGAGGCUCUUGUGAUCAGUGUAAAUGAUACACCUCUCACCAUACAGAUAAUGCCUCCAAAUUUUUAGAGCAAACAAGACUAUAGCCAGUUCAAGGUUGUGCCCUAGUAGUUACCCUUGAGUGUCUUAAGCUGUCGCGAUGCCUAAGCAACCACUUUAUCAUCUUGUAUUUAAAUAGAUCCUAGCCCGACGUGCAAUGCAUCACUGAAAACCACAAACUUCCGACCUGAUUCAGGUUGAACUAGAAAAGGAGCUUGCGUCAGAACAUACUUGAGCUUAUUGAAGCUAGACUACUAUGCCUCAGACCAUACAAACGGAGCAUUCUUACGUAGUAGCUUCACCAGAGGUGACGCAAUCAGGGAAAAUCCCUCAGCAAACCUUCGAUGGUAACUUGCUAAACCCAGUAAACUAUGAAGCUCAAACACAUUUCUCAGUUGUUUCCACUCCACCAUAGCUUUUAUUUUCUUAGGAUUGACUUGGAUCCUUUUAGUAGUCACCACGUGCCCUAAAAAAGAAUCCUCUUGCAACCAAAACUCUCACUUGCUAAACUUAGCAUACAACUACUUUUCUCGGUGUGUCUAGAGAACAAUACGAAGGUGGUCGUCAUACUCAAACUCAGUUUUAGAAUAAAUCAGUAUAUCAUCGAUAAAGACUACCACAAAUUGAUCCAAAUAUGGUUGGAACACUCGGUUUACCAAAUCCAUGAAUGAUGCUGGAGCAUUCGUCAACCCAAAUGGCAUCAUUAGGAACUCAUAGUGCCCAUAAUGAGUCUUGAAAGCGAUUUUGUACACAUCAGUCUCUUUAACCUUGAGCUGAUGGUAACCAGAACGAAGAUCAAUCUUGGAGAAAAUAAAUGCCCCUCGAAACUAGUCAAACAAGUCGUCAAUCAUCGGUAGCAGAUACUUAUUCUUGAUUGUCAAUUUGUUCAGCUGUCGAUAAUCUAUACAUAUCAUUAUCGAUUCGUCCUUCUUAACAAACAAUAUUGGUGCCCCCCAUAGAGACACACUCGGUCAAAUGAACCUUCUAUCGAGAAGCUCUUGGAGCUGAGCUUUUAGCUCUGCAAUCUUCUUCAGUGCCAUGCAGUAGGGUGCCAUGGACACCGAAGCAAUACUCGGUAACAAAUCGAUGCCGAACUCAACCACUCUAUCUGGAGGUAUUCUGGGACAUUCCUAAGGAAAGAAAUUUGAGAAUUUCCUCACAAUACGAAUAUCUCUUAUAGAAAGCUUUGUAGAAAAAGAAUCAAUUAUGAAGGCAAGGUCUGUCUCGCACCUUUUUUAGAUUAGCUUAUCAGCUACAAGGGAGGAGAUUACAUUCGAGAGGUAAUCUCGACACUCACCAACCAUAACAACCUCGCUAUUCUCAUCCAUCCUCAGAGUAACCCUUUUAGCAGCACAAUCUACAUUGACUCGAUGUUUUACAAGCCUAUCCAUUCCCAAAAUCAAAUCAAAUUCACAAAAGGCAGUUUCAUUAGAUUAGCCGGAAACACAAUCCCCUGAAUCUCUAAGGUUACCUCUGUUUAUAUACUUUAUCCAUUCGAAACCUAACGAUCGGUAAAAGAAAAAGAAAAUAAAUAUGAAAAAUGAAGAAAAAAAAAGAAAGAACUUCAAGAGAGGAAGAAGAGGAAACAUUUUCUUUUAAAAAUUUUGUUUUAACCACCAAUAAGUUUUCCGACAGUGAGCAAAAAUAUUCCUAAUGCAUACGCUAAGACUCAAACACAGGACCAAACAGUAUAUAAAAGAUUAACCAAUGAACCAGCAGGCUCAUUCUUGUUACAAAUUUACACAGAAUUAGAUUUAAAUCAAUGAUUCAAGAGCAGAGAAUAGUUAAAAAUUGAAUUAACACACGACCUGAAUUCUCAACCUCAAACACAUAAGUAAAGCACAAAAUCACAAAUACAGGAACUUAAUUACACCAAAACCCAACACCUAAAUACUUAAAUUUUUGGAGCGUUACAUCUUAUACAUAGGGUGGUGAAAGACUGAGAAUCAAUGGGCUUUUCUUCCAACUCAAUCUAGUUGAAAACACAACAUAAAACGUAAAUAUUACGAAAAACUUAAUAAACAAAUAUUACUUGAAAAACUAGGGAAUAAAAAUAUUUGUAAUGAUAUGAUACCAAACUAAAAAACAAUACCAUACCAUAGAAAUUGAAGUACAAAUUUAUAAGUAUUGUAUAGAAUUGGACUUAUAAAUUGGUGAGAGAAGUAGAAAGAUUUAGUUGAGAAGCUUUUAUUUCAUUUUAUUUACUGUUUAUCAAUUCAUAUUUGUUUGUUUUUAUAGAUAUAUAUCGCUUCAUAUUAGUUGAUAAAAUCAUAUAUACAAGUGUAAUGCCACGUAAUUAUAAAUUAGAAAGAUAUAUUUAAUUACACAGAUAAAUAUAAUUCUAAACUUUUUUACUUUUACAUGGUAAUAUGCAAACUACAGAAGUAUUAAAAAUAAAGGACUCUUCCCAAAAGAUUAAAAGAAAAGUAAACGACCUAAAUAAUUUUAAAUUUUUUAAAAAUAAAAAGUAUCUUAUUUAAAUAGUUAGUUUAAUUAUUUUAUUUAAACUUAAAUUAAUAAAUAUUUAAAAUAAAAUUUACAAAAUUAUCAUUCACGAUCUCAAUAGUUUUAUUCUUGAAAUUGAGUAGCUGCCUCUUAUUGCAAUUGUAUCUAUUUUAUAAAAAAUAAGUAAAUUGAAUAACUAUAACUUAAUAUCAGUACAGAAUAUUUUUAAACUGAAAAUUAAUUUGAUUGGAAACCAAUACAUGAAUCCAGAUGUAAAGGAAAACUUUCACUUUUUUUCAAUUUUAGAAAUAUAAUAUACAUAUAUAAAAAGUGCAUAUAUAUAUAUAUAUACUAGAAAUCUUAUCACACACAUAUAUACGUGUGAAAAUCACAUAUUUAAAACCUAUAGGCCUGUUUAAAAAUAAUAAGAAAAUGUGAUUUGGAACUAAUUAAUAGUAAUACAUGACGAAUAUAUGGUAUUAAAAUAAAUAAAUUAGAUUAAAUUGUGAAUAAAAAAAUUUAAACACAAAAGCAAAUUAAGAAUAUAAAAUGAAUAAAAUUGUUUAUUAUUGUUUUGUCAUAAACCUUGAGUUGAUGCCGAGUUAAUUUGUGGCACUAACUUAGUCAACAACAUUAUUAAUAUGCACAAAUAUAUAAAAAAAUUAUAUAACAUAUAUAUUUAUUAAACUUUCAUAUAAAAUCAAAGUUCAAAUGGUAAAUAAAAAUGUUUUAUAUGCAUGUUGUAUGUGGUUCAAAUCUUAGUAUGAAUAAUUUUCUAUUGAUUUAUAAAAAUAUAAAAGACAAAAACAUACUCUAAUAAUCAUAUAACUUGUUUUGAAAAUAAAAUGGAUUUUUGGCGAUUCCCUAAGUGAGUUAGAACCUGUCAAUAAAAAAGUUUAAUAAAUAGUGUAGAUAAAUUACAUCAUUAGUCUCUCAACUAUGAGUAAACUUUUGUUUUGAUCGCUUAACUAAAAAAUAUUACAAUUUAAUUAUAGACAUUUUCUUUUUCUUUUUUGCUUUCCUCUACUUUUCUUGAGCUGAAAGAUUAAUGGUGCACUACACCAAAACAGGCUUUUAGCGGCGCUUUUUUAUGCCUUUAACGGCGCUUUUAAGCGCCACUAAAAGUAUUAGCGGCGCUUUUACAAGCGUCGCUAUUGACAACGUCGCUAACUUUAGCGGCGUUUAGGUGAAAAACGCCGUUAAAGAUCAUGACCUUUAGCGGCGCUUUAGAUACAAAUGCCGCUAAAGAUCGUGAGCUUUAGCGGCGCUUUAGCCACAGACGCCGCUAAAGAAUAUGAUCUUUAGUGACACUUUUUUCACAAACACCACUAAAGAAUAAACCUUUAGCGACGCUUCUAGCAAAAACGCCGCUAAAAACAUAACCUUUAAAAAAAUUAUUUUAAUCAAAUAAUAUUUAUCAAAAUAAAUAUUAUAUUAUGUUUUGUUUUUUUAAUUUGAACUUUAAAUAUACUUGUUAAGGAUAAAUAAAAAAAUAUUUUUUAAAUUAAAUUUUCUAUGAAAAACUUAACUUUAAAACUAAAUAUAAAAAAUUAAUGAAUUUAGCUUUAGAAUUUAAAAUAAUAAAUUAAUAGCACAAAUAAAAAAUUAGAAAAUUUAGAUUCCUAGAGUCAAACCAUAAUGAUUUUCUCGUAGAAGUAAGAAACUAAAAAGAAAAAGAAAACUAUGAAUGAAGUAGAUAUCAUAAAAAGAAAUCCGCAGAUGAUUUUCUAGCAAAACAUUUUUACAUGAUUAGUUCAUAAAAUCCACAUCUUCAUUACACAAGAGAAAGGACAUUACAUAUCUAAAAGAACAUAAAAUGCUUUGCACAAAUAGGAUGAAAAAAGCUAGAAAGGAGGUACAAAAUUGUACAUCUUUAUCAAGUAGGAAGAAGUUCUGUGCAGCUGUAUCUGCAUUUCCUGUCAUCCUUACAACAGCUUGAACAGCCAUGCUAAGAACACCAAGCCCUGCACUGGAAGCCAGAAAGAAAAGUUUUUAUGAGAAAUAAAGCUGUGAGGGAAUGGAUGCAAGGAACCGUUCAUGUCAAAAGAAAUCUCCACAAUCGGUAAAUAAAACAAAGUACCACCAAGCAUUUCAUAUGUUCCAUUCUAUGAAUAACAAAGUAAAUAAGCACAUAUUUUACUCAUAAAGUGGGUCUUCAAUUAGCUUUAGAUUGUUAGUACCAACAUCUAGCAUAUCUGGGAGUAUAUGUCAGAGACAGAUUGAUUUAAUAAUUAAAGUUCUAACACAAGACAAGAGAGUUGCCAUCACAAGAAAAUGUUGAAAAUGUAAAAUACGAUAAUAACAUGGAGCAAACAUUUUCAGCAAGAUAUAAUCCACACACACACAUUUUGCUCAGCCAUAAAAAUUAUUUUAAUAUGAUAUAUUAUCAUAUAUUUAGCUUUCCAGCUAAGUAUGAAACCCUUAUGGGGCCUUCUUUUAUUUGCCCAAAUUAAAAAUGGUCAUACCAAUGCAAAGUAAAUCGGUUUAAUUUGAUUCCAUCUCUAUUUUAUUUUAUUUAUAUUUAAUGAUAAAGUAUAUACAUUUUCAUAUAGGAAUAACUUUUAAUGGGUUGAACCUAAUUCAUGAACACUUUCAAUUUAAAAAAUAAAAUAAAAGCAAUAAAAAGCGUGAAGGCAAUAAAAAAGACAGACACAAAAUAUCAUUAAAAGAUAACAUGAAUAUGAUAUAAAAAUAAGAAUAUUUAAAAAUUAUUAAAUAAAUAGUGAGAGAUGAGAGGUAGUUGCACUCUCACCAAGCAGUGUAUAACUCACUCAUUUAAAUGCACCACUUCCCACUAUAAUGGCUCGCACACAAACAUUCAUUUCAUGGGGUAACUCUUUCCUUACACAGGCUAAUAGCUUGCCUUCAUAAAUUUGCUUCUUCUCUCUCACACUUGAAUAGAAUCUUUUGAACCUCUCAAUUUAUUAAUUAGAGAAGAAAGAUCUCUCAUUUCUCCAACCAAUCUUAUGUUUCAGAACUUAUUUUUUUAUUUAUUUUGUUUAUGUGUUUAGUUGACAAAAGCUGAUUCCAAGGGAGUUUUUAUGACUUUUUUCCUUUUUUAAUUUAUAGAUUUCUAUUGACAGCUUCAACUAUGCCUUGUCCUUAGGUGACACAUUACUGAAUCAAAUUACUAAUAUAUAUUUAUAUAUUUAGUAUUUAAAUGUUUAUUUCUAUUUGGUCUAAUGGCUUUUUUUGCCCUCCAACUUUAUAACAAAGUUAUUUUAGCUCUCCAUUUAAUUUUUUUUAUUUUUUUAGCCCUCAAACUUACCAAAUGAAAUGCCAUAUGUCUUCAAUAUAAGCUCUAAAAUAAUCUCUAAAGCAAUUAGACACACAUAAUAUGCAUCCAAAAAUCGACCAACAGUUCAAGAUUAAAAAACUAGAAAAAUAAAUACUGAAGCAAAAGAAAGCACCAUAAGGACAAAUCAGCAUUCCUAGAAGAAAGGAGAAAUUUAUUAAAAAACUUAAAAUCUUUCUUUCUUGAAGAUGCAGGUUGAAACAGAAAGUACAUAAGUUAAGAGGCACCAUGAAGCAUCAAACAUGUACAAAGGGGAAAGACACACAUAAAUGGAAGUCAGACACAGAAGUAUGCUACACAGAAAAUGGCUUUUCAUUCGCAAAGAAGGUUUUGUGACAGGACUAGUGCCUUAUCUGAUUGGAUGAGAAAAAUACAAGUUCAAUCAUGUUUAAAUUGAUUUGAUUCCCAUGAUAAAAAUGGAAUUAACCAAAAAUAAGAAGCCUCUAAUGAAGUGCAUUUUUAAAGAGAUUAGCAUAGAUAUUAACUCAAUAAUCCACUGGGCAACAAAGUAGGAAGCAUUUUAAAAGGUCAAAUUUCUUGUAUUGCUGUAAAUUACUUUUGAUUUAAUUGUUAUUCAAAUAAAUCCUCUGCAUCUAAUUAAUAGAAUAAAACAAUGUCUCACAUAAUGAGUCUCUUUAAAGAGAAAAACUGACAAGGAUGAUCCAGAUAUACAAUUCUACGCCAGUAAAUUCAAGAUAAUUGCCUUUCUUAUUCUAAUUCUUUCUUUUUGUAACUUAUGAUUGGAACAUUUUCAAAGAGGUUAAGUCAUAAUAGUUUCUCAGAGAAAACAUAUUCUACCCAAGGAAUCAAAUACAGUUGCAGUCACCCUUCUUAGACAAUCCAUUUUUUUUCUUUUUGCAAAACAAUUUCCCCCCAUCUCAAGUACAUCUGUUUUUCUUAUGUUUGACCCAUUUUCUAUAUACUUUCCUACACUGAAGAUUCGUUAUUUGUGAGUUAACAGGAACUGCCUUAAAUAUAAAUUUCUGUCAUUUCAGAUAGAAAAUGAGAUGAUUAAAAAUUUGGAAAGGGGAAAUAAUAACAAACACUGACAAGAUGCAGCUACAAACAAGAUUACCUAGAACCAGCAGUUGAUCAAACUUAUAUCCAGGCUUCAGGAUUGACUUCAACAAGGCAGCACGUUCUGCAAAACCAGACAGAACCUGAGAAAAAGCCAACACAAGAAAGUACAAAAGGAAAAUUCUAUAGAGGCAAAAAAAAGCAUACCAUGAUGAUCUGCCAAAUGUUCAUUAAAUAUCAUACCCUUCAAGUGAGCUUUUGAGUUAACAUUUAUAACUACUGCAGAGGAAGUUAAACCCUCAACAACCCCAGAAACUAUGCUGCCCAACUUGACCAUAUCGUCUUCAGAAAUCCUGCCAUUCAAAUUUUCAAGCAGAACUAGAGCAGUGUCACCAUACAACUUCACAGAGGAAAGAAAUCACUAGCACAUAGUUAUAUAUCAGCAAAAACUUUUUGGGUUGAAUGUCACUGGAUACCAGCAUUAAGAUGUUCCCAGCUAUUUACCAAUCAAGUUUUCAGCAAGGAAAAGGUGCCAGGGAAGAAGUAUUAGUUCACCAAUAAGUCCACUAACUGAAAAGAUAUAUAUUCAUAAUAACCAUAUAUACCAGAUGCUCAUUGAAACAAACCUCACGGGCCUCAUCUGCAAGCUAAGAUUGACAUGCCUUGAAGCAGGUGAAGAACCAGUUACUCUGCAUUUAACAACUUGUCCCACAUGAAACAUUGAAUUUGGAUCAUCUCCUGGUCCUAAGCCAAGUUCGGAUCUCAUUUUGUAACAAUGAAUAAUCAAUUAUCAAUGAAGAUUACUAAGGCAAAGGAUGAUAAGAAUUGCCCAACACAUAAUAUGCAUCCAAAAAUCGACCAACAGUUCAAGAUUAAAAAAUCGACCAUCAUAACUACCUCUUCACAGCUCUCAGCAUCUCAACUCUCUUCAACAAAAUUCAUUUCAACCGAAAAUAGAAGAAUUGAGUUAUCUACUUUGAUACAAAAGGCCACAGCUUUGAUAAAUUGAAAUCAUACUAAAAUGGAGAGAAAUUCCUUUGUUUCCAAUAACAUAGCAGCCAUUCUUUAUCCUCAAUGUAACAACAAUGUCAGUCAUUAAAAUCCCAUCUGAUCAACGAACUGUGCCAUCUACUCCAAAAAAAAAAAAAGCAAGAAGAGUGCUGCAAUGACAUGAUAAGAAUCAUCUACAUUAUAACUAAAAUGUUUGAUUGUUUAAUUGAGUUAAUAUUACGAGUUAAUCUCAUACCAACUUAAUUGAAAAAAUAUAUAAAGUCAAUUUAUAUAAAAAGGUAAAGAUAUUACUAAAGUUAUAUAUAUACUAAACAGAAUAGAAAAUCACUUUCCUAAGCAACACCACACACAAAAUUGGCUGUGGCUGAUGAACUUGUUGUGUAAAAGAAAAUUAAAACUAUAUAUGUUCAGGGAACUUACUAUUCACUGUGUAUAAGAUUUUGAAAUCUUUAGGAAUCUGCUUCCAUUUGACUGAUCGUUUAUGCCAGGGGAGAUUUUCUGGUGCCGAACAUGGAAAAACAGAGGAGUCGAGCAGUAUUACAAACCAACGGAUGCCACCACAAAAACCUCGAUCUUUCAAAGCAGGUAAAAGUUCUUAAUGAGCAGGUAAUCUUAAAAGACUGUAAAGACGCGAUAAAGUAAGACACCCUGGAUGGGAGGAAGGAUAAGUUAGCCAGCACGUCAGAUAAGAUGAUAAGGAAUCCUUAGACUUACGGGCUGGAAUGUGCCGCUCCGCUUAGUCGACUGACAGGCAUGGAGAAGAAAAUCAGAUUGACCUAACUCUAAAUGAAACUGUGCAUAACUUCUCUUCUUAUUUAGAUUUCUCCCAUUUGAACCACAUUCUUCCCUUGAAACCCUAGUCUCUGAUAUGGGUUUGUCGAAAUCGCCAGAUUCUUUUUUUCUUGUCAUUCCUUAAAAAGUCCCAAAAGUAAAUAAAAUUAAAAAAGUAAAACAAAACAAAAAACCAGGAUAUCAACAAACCCUUCUAUCAGUUUCAUCAGUUCUUCCAGCGAUAUGUCUGGGUGAUUCCAUCCCAUCUUCUGGUUUUCUUCCUUCAAGUCUGUUGUUGGAAAUGGGAAAUUUGGGGGAUUUCAGCUGAAGAAAAACAAACUUUUAUUUGGGGGAUUUAGGGCGCACGACGGAGAUGAGAAGAAAUGGGAGUAAUGACCAAAAUUUUUUUUUUAGAAGUGAGCGGGAUUUUGAUUAUCUUUUAUUUUCUUCUAUAUUUGUGUCGUUUUAAAAAAAAAACGCCACUAAAAAAAUUAAAUUUUUCUACCCAAACGGCGCCGUUUUGGGAAAUUUUAAUACAUAGUAAUGGCGUUUUUUGCUGAAAACGCCGCUAAAGCUCACAUAUUUUUUUAUAUUCAAUUAUUGUAUCUUUCAUAUAAAUUUCACAUAAAGAAUUAUUAAAAUUUUAAGUAAUAUUUAAAAGAAUUAGAAAAAUUAUAAAUUUUAUUUUUUUAUUUCAUUCUUAUUUUUGUAUUUUAUUUUUUCUUAUAAUUUGGUCCUAUCCAAAUUAAAUAAUUACCUAUCUAUCCAUAUUAAAUAUAUCAAAUGGUUUAGAUUAAAUAUUUUUAAAUAUAAAAGCAUUAAUUAAUUGUAUAAAAUUGUAUCAUUUAACAAAUCUCAAAUAAACCUUAAAUCUUAAAUUAACCAUUCAAUAUACAUAAAGUCUAUCUAUUAUAUAUCUCUUAAAUAAUAUAAACUAUACUCAUAAUUUCAAUAUAUUAAAUUUAUUAUUAUAUCUUUUACAAUUAUAUAAGAAAAUAUUUAAUAUAUAAAUAAAAAAACUAAUUAAUCUAAACCCUAAACCUUAACCCAAUCCUUGAAACCCUAAAUCCUUAGCUCUUAACCCCUAACCCCCUAACUCAUAACCCCUAAACCUUAAAUCCCAACCCUUAAACCAUAAUCCCUAAAUCCAUAUAUAAUCCCCAAACCUUAAAAUAGUAACUCCUAAACUGGCCUUAAAUCUUAAAUUAACCAUAUACCGUAAGCCAUAUAAACCCUAAACCAUAAUGAUAAUUAAUUAAAUAUUUUAAAAUUAAUACUAUAUUAUCUUUUUCAAUUAUAUAUGAAAUUAUUUAAUAUAUAAAUUUAAAAACAUAUUUAAAAUAUAAAUAAAAAAAAUAAUCUAAACCCAAAACCCUAACUCGACCCAUAAAACCUUAAACUCUAAAUCCUUAACUCUUAACCCCUAAACCCCUAAAUCUCUAACUCCUAACCCCUAGACCUUAAAUCCUAACCCGACCUUAAAUCCCUAAACCCCAACCCAACCUAGAAUCCCUAACCCCUAAAUAUUAUUUAAUAUAUAAAUUAAAAUACACUAAUUAAUCUAAACCUAACCCCUAACAUCUAACCUUUAAAUCCAUAAACCCUAAAUCCAUAACUGAUCUUAACCCCUAACCCCUAACCCCUAACCCAUAAACCUUAAAUCACAACCCUUAAAUUAGAAUCCCUAAUCCAUAAUCCCUAAUUUCAUAACCUAUAAACCUUAAAAUUGUAAUUUUUAAACUGACCCUAAAUCCUAAAUUAACCAUAUAUAUACUCUAAACCAUAUAUAUUAAACCCUAAACUAUAAUGAUAAUUAAAUUAAAUAUUUUAAAAGUAAUACUAUCGUAUCUUUUACAAUUAUAUUUGAAAUUAAUACUUAAAAUUAAUACUCUUAUUUCAUUUGUCCCUUUUCAUUCAUUUUUAGUUCUUACUCUUGAGUAGGUACUAUUAGGUCAUUGUUGUGUUCAUGUUUGAUUAACUAAAUAUAAAAUUAUUUUUGGUAAUAAAAUUAUCAAUAUAUAACAUUAUUUAUCACUAUAUUUGGUGUUUUAUAUUUACUUUAUUUGAUUUAUUUAAUCGAACUAUCAAUUUAAGUUUUAUGAUAUUUUAUUUUAUUCAUAAUUUAAUAUAUUUUUCUAGUAAAGUAGUUUAAAUAAACUGUGAUUGAAAAAUAAUAAUAAAUAGUUAGGAGUUAGGACUUCUCUUUAAUAAAAACAUUUUGUAUUAAACAAUAUUAUUUGUUAUCAUUUAAAUGUAAAUUUUACCAAUAUAUAAUAAAUACAACGAAAUAUCAAAUUUUUUCAACUUAUAUUAAAAAAAUAUAAUUGAAACAUUACUUGAGAAUAUAUCAAAGAAUGAGAUAAUCGAAAUGGUUUUAGAUUUUAUUAUUAUUAGCGGCGCUUUUCAAAAACGCCGCUAAAGGCCAGAGCAUUAGCGGCGCUUUUUUAAAAACGCCGCUAAAGAUCUGAGCAUUAGCGGCGCUUCUUCAAAAACGCCGCUAAAGGCCAGAGCAUUAGCGGCGCUUCUUCAAAAAUGCCGCUAAAGGACCCAAAAACUCACAAAACGGUGUCGUUUGGCUUAGGCUUUUUGCGGCGCUUUUUAGAAAACGCCGCUAAUACUUAUCUUUAGCGGCGUUUUCGGAGAAGCGCCGCUACUCUACCUUUAGCGGCGUUUUUAUAAAAGCGCCGCUAAUGCUCGAUUUUUAGUGGCGUUUUUUGUCCAAGCGCAGCUAAAAACGCUGCUAAAAGCCGGUUUUAGUGUAGUGGUGAUACCUUUUAAAUUGGUAUAAUAAUAAUUUUAAACUGAAUUUUAACCCUAUACUUUUAUACUUUCUAAGCACAAUUGAUUUGCUUGAAACUAUAGUUUAUUUAUUACAUAAUAUCCCAUGGCCAUUGCACAAAAGAUAUCCCAAGAAAGUCUUCAUAUUAAAGGAGGCUUAUUUGACCCAUAAGAAUUGACUCAAUUUGAAGAACAAGUAAUGAAGUCUACAAAAUAUUUUGAUUUUAAUUUAUAAUUUAGUAUUCCAUUUUUUUCAAUUAAGUAGUUAUAUUUUAUUUCCAUUACACAUCAACAUUUGAAAAUUAAAAAAUACAUAAAAUUUUCAUAAAACAAUAUAGAGUAAACUACACUCAACUCAACUAAUUAUGGGUGAUUAUUUUUUAUCACCCAAUUAUGAAUUUGUUUAAUUUUUUAUCAUCUAAUUAUAACUUUUUUUUAAUUUGUUCACUCAAUUAAUUGAGAUUUUUUUUUGUCCAUUUUCAUUAAUUGCACUAACAAGAGGGUGUGAAAAAGAAAUAUAAUAAUAAAUUUAGCCCUCAACUUUUACAUAUUAUAUUGAUUUAGUCACAAUUUUUUUUAAAAAAAAACCUUCAAAAUUUACAAAUAGUCUUAAUUUGAUUCUAAUUUUUUUUUAACAUCAAAGGAAUAUAUAGAAAUACAUAAAUAUUUUCAAAAAAUAUAAUAAUAAAUUUAAAUUUGUAUAAUAAUAUUGAUAUUAAAUAAAAAUAACUAUAUUAAUAUUAAAUAAAAAUACAUAAAUAUUUUCAACUUAUUUAAUACAGAAUUUUGUAUUUUUAAAAAUAUUUUUUUAUAAAGAAUUAGGUUUAAAUUGACAAAAAAUUUAAAAGUUGAGGACUGAAAUUGUUAUUAUACUAACUACAAAAGUGUCACUUUUAGCCAUUGAAUGGUUGGGUGAAGAAAAAAAUAAUUUGAAAAUGUUAGUGGCCAAAUUGUAACUUUUUUUAAUUAAUUGAGACAUCCUUUGUUUUUAAAGAUAUGGAUUAAUUCACAUUUAUUUGGGUUAAUGUGUUAUUAUAAGAUUAAAAUCCAAAUAUCGUUUUUCUUCUUUUCAUUCCCGCGACUGGUUCAGCUUUUAUCCUCACGCAUCUUUGGUUUUUUUCUUCUUUGCUUUUCCAGUGCUUUUCAUUUGAUCAGUACUUCUUCAAAAGCCAAUAGCAAUGCCGGAAGAAUCGGACACAUAUCAUUCACGUGUCCUUACCCAAGUUGUGUCGGAAAUUUUUUUAUAUGUUGGAAAGAUCAUCACAUGUAUUUAUGUUACAUACGCAUCACAAUCGGCAAAGAGUUUAGUGGAGUAUUAAGCUUGUUAAUUAAUGGUACUUCCAACAUUGGGUUGAGGGAGGUGAUUGUAAUAUACAGUUGGUGUCAUUAUUUUUUAUGUUUUAGAGUUGCGCUAAAAUGAUAAGAUAGAAACUUAAGGGUUAUGUAUACAGAGUGUAAUACUUUAAUAACUUUUUUUUAAUAUUAACCAUUAGAAUUCAUCUAAUAAGAAAGAAAUGGCAUUCAGUUGAAGUUCACAAUGAAGAAUGAUUAUGUCAGUCUAUAUGGCUACCACUUUUCUUUUCUACUACUUUUCAUAAAGUUUAUAGUUAUUUCUAGACAAGCAUAUCUUAUACAUGUCCAGAGGAUAAGUUAUUAAACUAAAAACUAUUCUUUUUCUAAACUCAAAUUAAUCAACAGAAUUCAUGUAAGUUCAACAUAUGCUUCACUUUGCUUUUUUCCUUAUAACUCACUAAAAUUUGUCUUCUCUCUCAAGGAAAAGAAAAAGUAGGUGGUAUAUACUAACGAAUAAAUGGCAUUCAAUUUAAACACUCACAAUGAUGAAUUUUCAAAUGAACUCCUUAAAUAGAAAUGAAUUCAUUUAUUGCUCCAUUAAUUUUCUGUUGGGUACUGACCUGAUUAAGUAAUGAACAAAUAAAAACAGUGAAAGAAAUUGAGAAAUUGGACACAUAAAUUUAAAGUGGAAAAACUCUUCCAAAGAGGAUAAAAAAAUCACGGACAAAUAUAAUUUUACUAUAAUGGCAAAAAAACGAAGAAUACAAAAGAUGAAGAUAAAAACUAAACCCCGAAACUCGAAAACAAAAAACCUUCAAAACGUAAAUACAAAAUUCUCCAAAACUGUUAUGAGAUCUAAUCUUUUUGAGUGUAUUUUCUAAGGUUGUAAAAGAACUUAUUUAUAGGCUAAAUUCGUAACUCAAAUAACAAUAAAAUAAUCUACACUAAUCAGAGUUCGAAACUGGGAGCCAAUUGUUUUGCAAACACAAUGGCUAUGGAUGGAUGGAAAGUUUAUGGUUAAACUAUUCUCUUUAAAUUAACAUUAAUAUAAAAUAAAAUGUAAAUUAAUUUAAAAUUUUAAAAUAAUUUUAUUAUAAUUUUUAAAUCAAGCACUUUGAUAUGUUAAAAUUAACUAUAAAAUAAUUUAGGAAUUUAUUAACCACAAAAAUAAUUUAAAAACUUGUGUCAACAAAUGAAGAGUGCUUUUAAUAAAGUUGAUAUUUAUUUCUAAACAAAUGAAGAUUUCUUUUAAUAAAGUUGAUAUUUAAUAAAAUUUUAGUUUUAUUUUUUAAUCUUUUUUAACCUUUGAUUAAUGAGCAGAAUUCACAUACUUUGUUUUUGCUUAUACCUCAAUAAAUUUGUCUUCAAUUUAACGAAUAAAUGGUACAUAAUAACAAAUAAAUGGCAUUCAAUUUAAACAUUCACAAUGCUUAAUUUUCCAUUAGGCCACCAUUCUAUAUCACUACCAAUUGGCCAUGCAGUUUCUUGAGCUGUAGCAGAUUCUUCCACUAUAAUUUCAUCAUCUGAUUGGCUUGCCUGCAAAGCAAAUUAAACCUUCACUUAUUACUGUUUGCUUUUGAUGAUUGAUGAUGAAGAAAGCAAAGCCAGUUUUCCAAAAUUGGACAAAGGAUGACAUAUUAAGAACAAGAACUGUGAAUUGACAAUAAUAAUGCAACAAGGAUAUCUAGAAAGAAAUAUUGACAGCCACUUGAUGCAAACUGAUUACAGUUAAUGCAAUUUCAAUUAGUCAUUUAAAGCAUUAAAAAAAAAGAAUUUCUCUCAGGCAGCCAAAAUAAAAAUAUUGCAUCAAUGCAUAGAAAUUAAAGCUUAAUAUUGGGAGAAUACAUAGAGAAAAUAAUUGAAUGGAUGAAUUUCUGUUUUAAAGCUUAUUGUUGAGUUUUGAAGAGUAGUGUACUUGAGUUUUGAAGAGUAGUGUACCUGCGUUUUCGCAUGCACUGAUUUCUCUGAACCAACACUAAAUCUUGUGGUCAUGUUGGGACAACCUUUUACUUGUAAAUACGUCAAAAAUGGGAAAACAAAUUGGUAACCCACAGGACUAAAGCUCACGAGGUUUGGUAGCUCAACAAGCUUUAAGAAGCGGAGCAGAGGUAGGCGUAUCACUUUCUCUUCUUCCUCAUUCAGAUUUGUCUCAUCUCCUUCAAACACCUGCUCUAAUUUGGAGACCUGUCUAAGGCAUAAUCCACUUAGUUUUGGAAGGCCGCCAUGAACAAGAGGAAUCGGGAAGAGACAUUUCAAGUUUUCACAGUUAAUGAUUGUAAUCCACCAAAAAUUAGGGAAGCAAAUAGGUUGGAGAUGAUGUUGUGACGGAGUUUGAUCCUUCUCAAUUAUUUGCUCCAAUUCCUCACAGUCAGCUAUAUGCAACCACGACAAUUGUGGCAAAUUUCGAGCGAUGGUAGGUGAGAAGAUGUAUCUUAACCUUCUGCAAUUGCGGACUUGCAAUCGAGUGAGAUUUUGAAAGUGUUCAACUUGAAUGGGACCACUCCAUAUCACCCGCAAUUUAGUUAGUUUGGACAACGUUAGCUUCUCCAGACUUGAAAGAUUAUAUCUAGGAUAUUCAAAUAACUCUUCAAAAUUGGAAAUUGAUGUUCCUCCUCUCCUUUCAGGGACUGUCACGUUGCUUAUUUGCUUCUUUUCUAUCAUCUUCGAAAAGUACAAUACCUAUAAACAUAUCAUCAAUUUAAGAAUAAGCACAAGAUUUCUUUUUCAAUCUUUUCUAGUCAAAGAAUUCAAAUUUUUAAAAAGUUUACUGUUCAACUCAAAUAAUCAUAAAUUACAAAAAAAAAUCUCCAAAAAUAUGGUGCAAAAACACAACAUAAAUAAUAUUACGUAGUACUAGCUAGUGUUUGCAAUAUAAGAAACAUAAAUAAUUAAUAUAUAUUUCUCAUAUAGAUUAUAAAAGUAUUCAGUUGAAAUGUUAUUUAUGUUACUAAUUGGUAUUGUAAUUAACUAAACUACUUAACGGUUUAUUUAGAUUAGUUUUUAGACCAAAAUUCUACAAUGAAAACUAUUUUUUAAAGAGUUAUACAAGCAUUUAUUUAUUUUAUACAGAAAAAAUCAAAAGGUGAAAAUUUGAAUAAAUAAUAUAUAUAAGGUGGUCUUACCUGUAUAUUAGUUGAAACGAUAAUAGGUGUCAAUUGAGGACAAUCUCACUUUUAACAAGUGUAAAGAUGCCGAUGUCAGCACAAUGUAGUUUCUCUCCCUUCCUUUCAAUUGAGGCAAAUUAAUCAACUCAACGUUUUUCAAUCGUGCAAGACCUUGAGACAUUGAGAUUAACACUUCAUCUGGUCCUUGGAUUAUUUCUUGUAAUUGGGAACAACUCUCUAUCGUCAGAGUUUGCAAUUGCCCAAGACUAUUAGCAACACACAUUGGGAAGAGAAAUUUCAACUUAUUGCAUUCUGUGACUCGUACUUCCCUUAGGCAUUGGAAGCUUAUGGUUGAUACUUGUGAGUCUUGGAUUAUUUCUUCCAUUCCAAAGCACCUCUCUAUCAUCAGAGUUUGCAAUUGCCCAAGACUAUUAGCAACACACAUUGGGAAGAGAAAUUUUAACUUAUUGCAUUUUGUGACUUGUACUUCCCUUAGGCAUUGGAAGCUUAUGGUUGAUACUUGUGAAUCUUGGAUUAUUUCUUCCAUUCUAAAGCACCUCUCCAUCCUCAGAGUUUGCAAAUUGGGCGCGUUUAGUUGUUUAGAGCUACCUUGGGCAACAAUAAUUGGAAAGAGAGAUUUCAAGCUUUUACAUUGCAAGAUAUCAAGUAGAAUCAGAUUUGGAAAGCAAAGAGGUAGGGGAUGAUGUUGUGAUGACGUUUGAUAUUGCUCCAAUUCCUCAUAUUUACAUGAAUGCAAAUUGCUCAAUUGUGCAUUUG